rnacentral:tRNA from 1 species
ACUUUUAAAGGAAUAGUAGCUAUCCAUUGGCCUUAGGAGCCAAAAAU